rnacentral:misc_RNA from 1 species
GAUGAAGAACGCAGCGAAAUGCGAUAAGUAAUGUGAAUUGCAGAAUUCAGUGAAUCAUCGAAUCUUUGAACGCACAUUGCGCCCCUUGGUAUUCCGGGGGGCAUGCCUGUUCGAGCGUCAUUUCAACCCUCAAGCUCUGCUUGGUAUUGGGCACUGUCCUUUGCGGGCGCGCCUCAAAGACCUCGGCGGUGGCGUCUUGCCUCAAGCGUAGUAGAAUACACCUCGCUUCGGAGCGUAAGGCGUCGCCCGCCGGACGAACCUUCUGAACUUUUCUCAAGGUUGACCUCGGAUCAGGUAGGGAUACCCGCUGAACUUAAGCAUAUCAAUAAGCGGAGGA